rnacentral:rRNA from 1 species
UCACCUACGGGGGGCAGCAGUGAGGAAUAUUGGUCAAUGGGCGGAAGCCUGAACCAGCCAAGUCGCGUGAGGGAAGAAGGCCCUGCGGGUCGCAGACCUCUUUGGACGGGGAGCAAGGCCGCCGACGUGUCGGCGGAAGGAGAGUACCCGUAGAACAAGCAUCGGCUAACUCCGUGCCAGCAGCCGCGGUAAUACGGAGGAUGCGAGCGUUGUCCGGAGUGACUGGGUGUAAAGAGUUGCGUAGGUGGCAUAAUAAGUAGCUAGUGAAAUCUGGUGGCUCAACCAUUCAGACUAUUAGCUAAACU